rnacentral:rRNA from 1 species
GAUGAACGCUGGCGGCGUGCCUAAUACAUGCAAGUCGAGCGAACAGACGAGGAGCUUGCUCCUCUGACGUUAGCGGCGGACGGGUGAGUAACACGUGGAUAACCUACCUAUAAGACUGGGAUAACUUCGGGAAACCGGAGCUAAUACCGGAUAAUAUAUUGAACCGCAUGGUUCAAUAGUGAAAGACGGUUUUGCUGUCACUUAUAGAUGGAUCCGCGCCGCAUUAGCUGGUUGGUAAGGUAACGGCUUACCAAGGCAACGAUGCGUAGCCGACCUGAGAGGGUGAUCGGCCACACUGGAACGUAGACACGGUCCAGACUCCUACGGGAGGCAGCAGUAGGGAAUCUUCCGCAAUGGGCGAAAGCCUGACGGAGCAACGCCGCGUGAGUGAUGAAGGUCUUCGGAUCGUAAAACUCUGUUAUUAGGGAAGAACAAAUGUGUAAGUAACUAUGCACGUCUUGACGGUACCUAAUCAGAAAGCCACGGCUAACUACGUG